rnacentral:rRNA from 1 species
AUUGAACGCUGGCGGCAUGCUUUACACAUGCAAGUCGGACGGCAGCGCGGGCUUCGGCCUGGCGGCGAGUGGCGAACGGGUGAGUAAUACAUCGGAACGUGCCCAGUAGUGGGGGAUAGCUCGGCGAAAGCCGGAUUAAUACCGCAUACGACCUGAGGGUGAAAGCGGGGGACUUUAGGGCCUCGCGCUAUUGGAGCGGCCGAUGGCAGAUUAGCUAGUUGGUGGGGUAAAGGCCUACCAAGGCGACGAUCUGUAGCUGGUCUGAGAGGACGACCAGCCACACUGGGACUGAAACACGGCCCAGACUCCUACGGGAGGCAGCAGUGGGGAAUUUUGGACAAUGGGCGCAAGCCUGAUCCAGCAAUGCCGCGUGUGUGAUGAAGGCCUUCGGGUUGUAAAGCACUUUUGGCAGGAACGAAAAGUGCCGUGCUAAUACCACGGUACGAUGACGGUACCUGCAGAAUAAGCACCGGCUAACUACGUG